CCGCCGCGUCUUAGGCUGCAGUCCCGCUUUCCCUGGAAACAGAGGCGCGCGGUGGCGGCUCGGAGUAACGGCCGUCCCUCAGGCUCCGCCUCCCGGAGCUUCCCGUUGAUUUUAAAAAAGCCGCCUCGUUUUCGCUGCCUGCCGUUGUGCCCCGUUCGCUCCUGCGCUCCUCUGCCUGAGUCUUCGUGCAGGUACCCACCUCUUCUCACAUGUGAUAACAGCUCCCAAAGAUGGGCAGAGCAUGAACAGUUUGUAAUGUUAGAAGUUGCUGAAUGUAGGCAUGUGUAGCAGGAGUUUUCAGUUCUGUCAGCACUGAAAGCCACAUCUUCACUAAGGACCAGCUUAUGCUGAGCUGACAUGACAUCCAACAAGUUUGUCAUUAAGUGUGGGAACUUUGCUGUUUUGGUAGAUGUUCAUAUUUUGCCCGAAGGCUCCAAUAAAGACACCAGCUGGUUUUCAGAUCAGGAGAAGGAGGAGGUCUGCAUGUACCUAGAAGAGGUGGUCGUGUCACGGAUCAAACGCUACUUGGAAGCACGUAAGAAGCGUGGUCAAUGGAAGUCAGUGGAACAUGCAUCGUCAGCUCCUCUGUUCAUUACAGCCAACAAUUUUCACAUUACUGCCUACUUUAUGAAGAGAUGGGUUAAUCUCCGUUGUGCUCUAGGGAAACAUUAUCGUGAGCUACGUAUGUUUCCAGACAAAUUUGUUGUUUGUAUCAGUAAACUUGAAUUUAAUCCAAGCGCUUGGACAUGUGAAAGCGGUGCACUGAAAGAAGUUUCCAAUGGGACAUCUGAAUAUUUUUCUGAAUCUUCUGAAAACAGAAAGCUUCAGCUUAGUCUGAAUGAACAGAUAAAGCAAGAUAUCUUGAAGGAAAUUGUGAAAAGGACAAAAAGGGGGAAAAAUAGUGUGAGCAAACCUCAAACCAACAAGGACUCCAAGAAAGUGGAUCUUGGCUCAGUGGGCUUACAGACAGGGAACAGAAAGAAUGACUGUCAAACUUCUCCCAGUCCUCAAUCAGAAGUGAAAUGGAGGAGCACAGGAUGGCUAAAGAACUGCAUAAAUACAGCUGAGAGCAACUUGGAGUUUCCUGUUUCAGAGCUGGAAAAUAAUGUUAAUCAGAGACAGGCAAAGGAUGCUAGCAGCCAGCAAAAACCUCAUUCUGUGGAGCGGUUGAAGUCAAGACUUCUAAGCAAAAAUUCUCCUUGUAGCUAUGAGUCAGCACUGCUAGGCCCAAAACAAAAUCAAAAAAUAUCUGAAACACAGUCUCAACAAAAGAGUUGUAGUUCAGAAGAAAAGUUAAACCAUUUCAAAGAAAUAUCCUCUGAAGAGACUCCUUUUAUUCCUGGCAACACAGAAAGGAGUAAGUGUAGUGAUGAUCACCUAGGUCUGUUCUUGGAGGAGAAGACCCCACUUAAUUCCAGGUUGUUUUCUAAACAAGACUUUAAAAAAAUUGCAUCUGAUGAAAACUUACUUACUUUUGGAACAAAACAAUCCCAGCCUCUUUCUAUGAGGACAAACCAAAAUGAGCCAGACACAACCACUGAAGAAUUACCUGUGGUGCCUUCAGCAUCCUAUUUAGAAAUGCAGACUGUGUCUUCAAAGAAGCUGAUCCAAAAAAGGAAAAAAGAAGGUGAAGAUGGUCUCAGGAAGUUAAAACUACGAAGGCUUAAGAAACCAUAAAGACUGAAAUAUCACCAUGGUAGUGUGGGCAGGCAGCCAGAUUUGUGCUUGGAAAGCAUAUACAAAAACCUGUUUACGUGUUACAGUGCUUUGCAGUAAGGUUGCUAAUGCUUGCCAAUCUUCAGGCUCUGCAGAAAGGUCUUUCCUAGUAGCAAGCAAAAGGAAGGCUGUAAAUGAACCUGGGUUUGGAAUAACAACCUGAGAUAACUAACUUCCUGGAACCUGGUAGUGUGUGACCUUGUCUCUUCUACAGUGGCAAGAAGGUGACAUUUUUAGAUUGGGACUUUUUGUUCAACAUUGGCUUAUGCUAAGAAUUUGUAUAAUAGUUGUGAAAAUGAUGUUGUGCCCUAGAGCAUUUCAGCUAUAACCUGGAAUUUGUCCAGGGAAAUAGCCUCCAACAUCCUAACUCCUUUACCACGUUUCAGUUAUUCCAGAGUCGGGAAUUCGUUGCUGUGAGAGGUAGCAAUGUCCUUUUUGUGAAUGAGAAAUCCACUGAUUUGCUCAGAUAUUGCCAGAUACAUCCUUUAGUAGACCUGAGACAUCCCCUUCAGUUACUACCUCAGCAACAAGAAUUGGUAAUCUAGCUCUGGAACUGCUUUAUUUUCUGCCAGAAUAAUUGUCUUUUUGAUUAUGCACCAAAUCUUUAAGGAAAAGGGUCUAGAGCUAUAAUUUGAGAGAUGUGCAUGCCCCUUUUUAAUAUUCAUGUGAUCUCAUAACGCUAGAAUGAAAAGAAUAGAAGUUUAUUCCUCCACCCUGUAGAGAAACUGGUUGGAACAAUUUGCACAUCACAGAGAAGGAGCUGGCUGGAAGCUGUGGGCUGCAACUCUGGUCUGACGCCUGCCUGAUACCGCAGCGCUCCGCGGCUGCCCCAGUGCUCGGUGAGCCAUCUGCCAACCAUCCGAUGGCCAACAGACUGCUCACAACCUUCAACUCUUUUCUCCUCCACGUCCAAGAAUUGGAAUUAAUCACAUUCAGCACAGACGUUUUUCUGUUUGGUUUUGUAUUCCCAAACCAAGGGGAAAAAUGGCUAGCCUUUAAAAACAGACUCUGUAAACAGUAAUCAUAAUGACCACUGGUGUUACUACUGCAAAAGGAGAAGCUGAAAAAUUCUUGAAUAUCAAGCAUCUGUUAGUAUCUUGCUUCUUUUAGAAAGGGAGGAGGAGCUUAUGCAAUCACUUCCAUCAUCUGGGGAGGAAAAGGCUGAAUUUGGUACUUCCCUUGUCAGAACUUCUCAUCUUCUUUGCAGACACAAAUAUAAAAAUUGCCUUUGCCUUGUGACUUGUUCCGGGGGAACCCCGCAAAGCCAAAGGGCUGCAAUCCAAGCUAGAGGAUGAAGGCUGGAGCAGGCACACUGGGGAUAGCAGAUGACAAGCUGCAUCAUCCAGUCUUCAAGGAGCAAAGGAGAAAGUAACCAUGUACAUUUUCUAGCUUGCCAGGGAGCUGAUUAGUAAUAUUAACUCUUGCCAUGGAGAGGUGUCCAUUGGUGCAAGAACAAGUAUUGCUACUACAAAGAGAAAAAUAUUUUCAUCUGUGAAGAUAGCUUGAGGAUUGCUAGUUUCAUAUUUAUGCCCUGAGCUGGUUUGCAUUACUUAGAUGCUGGGCUUCAAAUACACAAGAGCUGUCUGGCUGUCAUUUGCUUGUAUUAACAACACAGAAAUAGCCGUUCCCAAGGCUAUCUUUCACCCAGUGACAUGAAUUUAUUGUCAGGCUGAUGUAAUAUGCAUGGUCAGCAGCUUUUUUGCUAGUCACCUCCAUGUAAGGUGGGCCCUUUCCAUGUGGAGGUGCAGUGACUUUGAUGUGGCUGUGUUCAGUUCACGUUGAACCAAACCCAGAUUUGAUGGGCUCAGUUAACCAUAGGAAUAGCAGAACUGUGGGAGCAAAGAGGAGCAACUUAUGAACUUUAAAAAUAUGUUUAAAUGGCAGCUCAAGAAGCACACAUUUUUCAUUCUUAGAUAAAUAGGAAUCCAAACACACUUGCAGCAGGAGGCUUCUCAUGACUAAACAGAACGCGUCUUCCCAAAGUAGUAAACCAUAAAUGAACAGUUUCCAUAAAUGUAAACAUGCCUUGAUAUUCUAAUGGAAAAGCCUUAAAUGUUUGUAUUUCUAUUUAUUUUCAUCCCAAUAGAAAACAUUUUGUAUAUCAACCCUCCACUGGGGGGUAGUUCUGGGCUUUGGAAGACUGCUUUUUUUUUGUAAAUUCUCCAGUGUAAAGUAAGCUUGAAGCUACCACUGAGAUACAAGGAUAUAAUGUAACUUUUACCUCUCUGAUUUUGUAAGGCCAUCAGGUUAUGAUGAGUUACACAGGAAAUCAAUGCCCUAACAAAACCUCCGCAUGGUCAACACAGUGCUUUGUUGCCACGGAAAAAAUAUAUAAAAAUAAAUUAAUACUAUGCUCAACAUUUUCCUUUAUGCUGUCUUUGGAGAUCUAAAUAGCAUUGGCACUGUGUUAGAUGAUUAAGUCUAAUUAGAAUUUGCCUCAGCAGGCUUUGAAGUAGCAUGUCACAAACACGUUCCCAGGACUAGCAGAAAUCCUGGUGUUCUGUUUUGGUGGUUUUUUUUUGUUUGUUUUUUUUUUGUUUGUUUUUGUUUUUUUUUUGUUGUUGUUGUUGUUUUUGUUUUGUUUUGGUUUUUUUUUUGCUUAGUAGAAGGCUGUCUCGAAUUUGAAGGAAUAAGCCCAAGUAUAAAUGUUUAUGUGAUUUAGAAGCAGUAGAUGGUUUUGCACUGUUGAAGUUGAGACCUCUGUGAAGUGUAGACUAGAGGAAGGUUGUUAAUUCAAUGUUAUAGUACAGAAAACAAGUCAGUUGAUAGCCUCACUGUGCCUCUAAGCCAGGUGGAGGAUUCCAUUAAGUGGCUUUUUUAGAUGCAACUUCUUUGCUUUAUUGCAGAUAGUAGAAAUUUAGGAACAAAGGAAAAAGAAUACUUAUGGGAUUUGUUUAGGUAUUGUUGAAGUGGAUAGAUGAAGGUAAUCUUGUCAAUUUUUCCUUCAGCAAGCAGUAAACUGGUGAUUCCCUGGUACUUCAGCUACAUGACAUGCAACUGUGAACAGUUAGAGCAGUAACCCUUUCAAGGUAGUAUGUAGCAACAAGUCAGAAUCUCAUCUUAAAAUAAGCUUGAAAAAAAAAAAGUAACACUAAAAAAUGAGAUUUUAAUUUUUUUUUUUUUUUUUUUU